rnacentral:lncRNA from 1 species
UACAAACAUAAAAUAUACAUAGCUGAAAAGAUUCAGACUUAAAAUAGUAUUUACAAAAGCCCAAAAAAAACUUAUAGUUAGAAAUAACAGAGCUAACCAUGCUCUUGUGACCUGCAGUUUAUAUAUUGGAAUAGAAGUGGGUUAAAACAAUAGGUUUGUCAAUCUCCAUUAACCUCACAUACAUAUAUGCAUAUUAAAAAGGAUGUCAAAUUGCCCAACCCACUGUACAUCAAAUGUCAAUAGCAGUUCCUCAAGUUAUGUGUAGCAUGUCAUAAUAACAUAAGUAAUAUUUUAAAGCUUUUUUUCUAAAUUUCUUUGUUUUUUAUCUUUAACUAUAGAAGAUUGAAAAAGGGAAAAAGACAAUAGUCUAACUUCCAAUUGACAGAAGUGGAGUUGUUUGAAGUAAGAAUAAUUGCAAUCUUAGCCUUCACUACACAGACAAUCCAAGUGAUUAAAAAUUCAAAUAAAACCCUACAUCCAUUACACUCAACCUCUCGAAUCACUAUACCUAAAAAUCAUACAUACAUACUAACAAACAUAUACAUAUAAAGAUGAAGUUAGAUUUCGAUUUAAAUUUGAAUUUUCGUAUACAAGUAUUUUGGUGCUAUCUAAAAGUUUCAGCCCCAAAAAAUCAAUUUUAUUGUAUAUUUUGGUGCUAUUAACAACCUUAAGCCUCAAAAAAUCAAUUUUAUAGAGGUGCAUAACUUGUAAACAUUUAAUGGUGCUUUGUAAUCUAUUUUUUGGCGCUGUGUUUAUUUAAUAAUUAAUAAUGGGGUAAUGUUGUUAUUUGGUGCUUUAUAUUAUAAAACACCACAAAAAACAUGAAAUUUACACCACCAAAAUAAAAGCUUUUAGAAUUUGAAUGACAACUUACAUAUGUAGACAAAUGUUAGAGCUCUUGAUGUCACGGUUGUUGCUCCAUUUUUUGUUAUCAGAAUCAUUAUGAAGAUCCUCUGUUUUAUAAUGACGGGAUCAUCAUCAUCAGCUACAAAUUGAAUC